rnacentral:lncRNA from 1 species
UUACUCCUGUCCUAGGAACUGGGGAUAUCUCUUUUGUGGAGAACAUUUUCUACAAUCAGAGCAAGGCAUGUUCUGCCUUGGAAGAGCCUACUUAACCAAGUAGUUUAGAGACAAGCUUAUUGAGCAAGUAGACCCGUGAGACAAUUCUGGUGGUAUGAUUGGAAAUUGCUCUCAUUGUACUGGGAUCCAAGCUGACAAUGGUCCACCAGGUGGAGACAGAGCAGAGCUCUGAAGACACUGAGACCUUAGAGCCAGCGGGGCUCGAGAUCAACGGCACACAGUACAUUUCUGUAUACGUAUGAAUGUAUGUGUACGUUUUCUUAAAUAGAAAAUUUAGUAUUAAUUUCCAGUAUUAUGUUCUAUCUUCCAGAGUGUGUCAUCUUUUCAACCUGGAGCACAGAGCAUGAUGACGGAAGAGAAACAAUUAUUUUACGUGUCCUGAUGAAAUAGAGAAUCCUGGCUGCAUCCUUGGGUGAUCCAGUCUUCAGUUUGUGAUAUGUUACCGUGUCUUCAGAAAUGCACUAGUAAAAUCUGAUUUCAAAGGAAAUGCAAACUUCCUUCUCAGGAAUAUGAUGAAGAGCCUGGAGGGCUGCAUGAGAGGAUGCAGAGGAGAACACGCUUGGGGAUAUGGGCUUGAAUCACUGAAUUUCAUUAGUCUACACCUAGGUCUGGACCUAGACUGCAGAUUGUGGUUUCUGAGUUAAUAUUCCUUUGGAGUCUGGAUCCUUGUUGAAGACCACGGGUGCCUGAUUUAAUAUCCACUUCUACCACUUUCUGUAUCUUUAUUAGUCUUGAAGUUUGCUGAAGUAUUAAUAUGCUUGUGCUGGCUCCCAGGUGGAGUCACAGCUUGGUUCCUAUAAAUUAUUAAUCUCGGGGAACAGACGCUGGCUUCAAAUAUUAAUUUGAGUAAACUUUGCCAGUUUACAGAGUAACUUAUGUGAGUGGAACAUUGCUUAUCACCCUGUGUGAAUAAGAAUCAGCAAUACAAUGCCUUGUCUGGAAGUUCCCCCUGCUUUCAGCAUACUGCCCCUCUCCAAGGGGCAGAACAUCACUGGGUUGGAGAGCCUAGUACCCAUCACCAGGGCCUUUUGCUGUGAUUGACACUUCGAAG